rnacentral:lncRNA from 1 species
UUGAACCUGAGUGAUAUAUGACUGCUUUAGAAUCUACCAUUUUAUAGUCAAGAAAUCUACCGACUAUGAAUUUUUUCAUGCCAGCAUCUUUAGUUUUAUAUUUCUUGUCUAAAGAUUCCCAAAGUUCCUUUGCAGUUUGAAUUGUACAAUACACAUUAUACAGUGUAUUGUCUAAUCCAUUCAUUACAUAAUUUCUGCAAAGGAUAUCGGCAUGUUUCCAUGCAUCAACUGGAGCCACCUUUUCCUUGUUUGUUUCUCCUUCAACAAGAGUAGGACAGUCCUCUUGUAGAAACCUUGCCAAAUUCAAUGUUGUGAGAUAG